rnacentral:rRNA from 1 species
CAGCAGCCGCGGUAAUACGAAGGGGGCUAGCGUUGCUCGGAAUUACUGGGCGUAAAGGGAGCGUAGGCGGAUCGUUAAGUUGGGGGUGAAAGCCCGGGGCUCAACCUCGGAACUGCCUUCAAUACUGGCGAUCUUGAGUAUGAGAGAGGUGUGUGGAACUCCGAGUGUAGAGGUGAAAUUCGUAGAUAUUCGGAAGAACACCAGUGGCGAAGGCGACACACUGGCUCAUUACUGACGCUGAGGCUCGAAAGCGUGGGGAGCAAACAGGAUUAGAUACCCCCGUAGUCCCUGUCUCUUAUAC